ensembl:lncRNA
GUAUUUUAGACAUAAUAAUCUACACAACUUUCCUAAGUGGAACCUGACCUUCUCUCAAGAGUAGACAGUAGUUGUUCUACAGUGUGCUUGAAAAUGAUUGAAAUUGUUUUAAGAAUCCUUUUUUUUUUUUUGCUGAAUUUCUCUAUUUAAAUGCUAUGAACAAGUGUCUGGCUUUAGAUUAAUGAGUUAUUAAAUACAUUUUUGUAUCAAGUAACAGUAAUCUUGCUAGCAAAAUAGAUCUUGCAUAGCCACAGAACUUCUCAAUUUCUAUCAUACUGUAAUUACAAGUUGCACUUCUAAUGACUUCAGUCAAUUGGAAUGAGAAAGAAAUGUCAUGUCCAGGGCUCUUGUGUAGAGUUACAGCUGUCAAGAAUCUAACCUGGAGAGCAGAGAAUAGAAGGGGUUGUGUUUCAAAGGACCAUGGAAUCAUUAGAAUUCUUGGAGUUGGAAGGGAUCUUUAAAGGUCGUCUUGUCCAACUCUCCUCCACAAUGAACAUGGACACCACAGCUAGAUCAGGUUGCCCUGGGCCUGAUCUGGUCUUACCUUCGAAGUCUCCAGGGACAGAGCAUUCACAGCAUGUCUGGAAUACUCUCUGAAGCAUAGGAAUACAGCAAAUAGUUUUUCCUCCACUACUGUACAUUGGCUUUCACUUUUUUCACUACGAUAUGCAGAUAUGAAAUGCAGCUAAUGCUUGCUCUGAAAGGGACGGCUCAAUAAUAUCUGAGAAAUUUACUGGCUCCAGAUGUUCUUUGCAACAACAUUAUUUCUCCUGCCUAGGGGAAAAAAAAAACAAGGAAUGAUCCAGAGGAACCGUUGUUCUUCAGAUUUUCAGUUGUUCAAUAUGAUAUGUAAUAUGAAUGGCCCCUUCUAAGGGCUCACUAAAAUAAGGAAUAGCCUUGCACAGAAGAGUUGCUGAUUAUUAUUUGAAUGAAAGCCAAGUCACAGAGGAAAAGAAAUCUAGUUAGAUAAAAUAAUUUAGAGAUUAGUACUUUUCUACAUGUACGCUCUGCUUUAAGGAUAGAAUACAUUUUGAGAAUCAUGUUUCUAGCAGAAGCCUAUGACUUUAUCAGAAUGGUUCCAAUUCUGCUCAUGUCAGAUCUUUCUACAACACUGCUGUCUGGAAACUAUAUUUGUUUUGUACAGCAAGCUAGCUUAAAAAGGCCUUUUUCAUUCCCAAGGAUCAAUAUGAGCUACUUGGUUCUUUGUAGAAUUUUUUAUGAAGUAUUCCUAACCAAGGGCUUCAAAGUACCUCUAAUUUAAACUGCUGACUUGCAACUGCGCUUGUUUUACUCGGGAAUUUUUCCUUUUUCUAACACUAUUUUUGUAGCAAAGUAAAUCUGUUCUUUCUGGAAAUAGCUGUUUAAACUUGCAGUUCUGUGCAGUUCUUCUCUUUUGCUACAUUUAAGUUAAAUCUGUAAUGUUUAUUUUGGAAAUGAGUACACAGACCUAAGCACUAUUUUUGAUGGUUAUUGAUAUCAACUUUCUUCAAACCUGAAUCAUUAAAGCCACUCCUACUUACGUUCCUUUUCCCCCUAUUAUUGUUUCUAUAAUGCUUUUUUCUUGCCAUAUGAGAAAAAUAAACAGGCAACAGAACCUCUGUUCUGCUGUUCAUAUGCUGAAUAUAUACAGUCUUUAGUCAUUAUGACUGGGAAAUAAAAUCCA